UGUAUAGUAAGGCGUUUUUAGCUGGAAAAAACGACCAUGUAUAGUUAGGCGUUUUUAGCCGAAAUAACCGACCAUGAAUAGUCAGGCAUUUUAAGCCGAAAACAACAAGCCAUGAAUAGUAAGGCAUUUUUAGCCGAAAAAUAGAACCAUGAAUAGUAAGGCGUUUUUAGCUGAAAAAAACGACCAUGUA